GAUGAACGCUGGCGGCGUGCCUAAUACAUGCAAGUCGAGCGAACAGACGAGGAGCUUGCUCCUCUGACGUUAGCGGCGGACGGGUGAGUAACACGUGGAUCACCUACCUAUAAGACUGGGAUAACUUCGGGAAACCGGAGCUAAUACCGGAUAAUCUAUUGAACCGCAUGGUUCAAUAGUGAAAGACGGUUUUGCUGUCACUUAUAUAUGGAUCCGCGCCGCAUUGGCUAGUUGGUAAGGUAACGGCUUACCACGGCAACUAUGAGUAGCCGACCUGAGAGGGUGAUCGGCCACACUGGAACUGAGACACGGUCCAGACUCCUACGGGAGGCAGCAGUAGGGAAUCUUCCGCAAUGGGCGAAAGCCUGACGGAGCAACGCCGCGUGAGUGAUGAAGGUCUUCGGAUCGUAAAACUCUGUUAUUAGGGAAGAACAAAUGUGUAAGUAACUAUGCACGUCUUGACGGUACCUAAUCAGAAAGCCACGGCUAACUACGUG
rnacentral:rRNA from 1 species